rnacentral:rRNA from 1 species
AUUCUCAGUUCGGAUCGCAGGCUGCAACCCGCCUGCGUGAAGUUGGAAUCGCUAGUAAUCGCGGAUCAGCAUGUCGCGGUGAAUACGUUCCCGGGCCUUGUACACACCGCCCGUCACACCAUGAGAGUCGGGAACACCCGAAGUCCGUAGUCUAACCGCAAGGGGGACGCGGCCGAAGGUGGGUUCGAUAAUUGGGGUGAAGUCGUAACAAGGUAAC